UCGGAUGUGACCAUGCGGGGCGCGGGGGAGGGAUUAGAGAUUGAAGGGGGCGAGGGGGAGGGGGACAAAAAGAAGAGAGACGCUUUUAGGUUAUUCUUUAGAAUUUCAACAUCAAAGAAAAAAAAGCGCACACGUUAGCUAAGUAUAAAAGGACAGGCUCUACGAACUUAGACAGACCAAAGAAAAAAUUUUCCUACUUGGAGUCUUAGGGACGUCAAUCCCAAGAACAUACGGAGACUUGGUGACGUGGGUUAAACACUAAGGAAACGAAAACUUCAAUGAAAAUCCCAAAACUUCCAAACAAACCACCGAUCUGUAUUUAAGAACGAGUAUCUGAAAGCUAAACUCUACCAAGAGAUUUUCAUAUGGCGCCUAGAAUCACGAGUCCGUGUAAAUCCCAAGAACGGGAAAAAAGUAAAGUUUUUCUCCAGCAAAAAUGGCUUGUUAUUAGACAAUAAUAAAACUAAAAGAGGAAAACGAGAAAAAGGUAACGUUUUUCUCCCAAAUAAAAAGCGGAAAAGAUAAAACAAAAUAAGAAGACCCCUACCUCUUUCAUUAAUAAAUCUUACGGGAGUUAGCUUGGAUAGUCGAGCCCUGGUAACCACAUCCGCACAUCGGUUGUUUAACAACGACCAAGAGGUAAAGGAGUCUGAUAUACCGACUCUGUCCUCUACGUUCAGCGAACGGUUGUAGGGAACUACACGACCGAAGUCUACAAGUGAGGUCCGACCUCAAGGUGUCCAUACGGAAGUACCUGACACAACCGUAUUUUUUACGCGAAGUGACACAGUAGCUUCUUUCCCUUUUAGAGGUCGUUGCUGUCUUACGCUAACUGGUUGACCAACGACUUUUCCUGUCGGAGUGAUUUUUCUUACUUCUCGACCGUCGUCUCGAACUUAGAGACUUCCUUGUCGAGGUUCGUUCCCUUAGCUCGCUAGUUGUCGUCCCUUCACCAAAAGUCGUCUCGGUGAGACCUUACGUCCGUGUGGGUUCUAGUUACGGCUUUUCCUUUGCCGUUAGACCUCUACUUCUACAACUACUCGUACUCGAAUACCUUCUAGAAAGGCAAUAUCUAUUAGGACUAGUUCCAAAUUUGUGACUCGAACUCCGAUGAUCUUUCCUUUAAAGACUAUAGGUGAGAUUCGACUAACUCCCCAAGUGACUAGAAUCAUGAUGACCUCCUUCCUUAUAGCGGGAUUUUUUGUAUCCCGUUAACCUACUGUCCGGUAAGGACCGCCGUACGGCAUUCUUCGACGGACGGCUUCUUCGUUCUCUUUUUCGAUUUCUUCAUGUGGCACAAACCGUCCCCGUAUAUGUCUUGGGUCUCACCUUAGGGAAGUUCUGACAGUGUCAACUUCCAUAGGGUUUCCUCUAAUAACUACAGUUACUACUGUUCGACGUUCCCGAUACACGUCGUACCCCACUUCCCCACGUGUUCCGACACCACUCAACAAACCAUCUUUAAGUUCUUUCACCGUCCGACCCUCUAUCUUUGUAACACGGGCUCCAGACCUUAAUGUUCACGUUCUCUUUUCGGUGAGUGUCACUCUCGUAGCUCAUGAACAAGCCAGUUCACUUCGCAGACUCACUGCGCUUUAGGUCUUGGGCGUCGCGUUCCACUGGAACAUCCCCACACCACCACGUUGUCCUACUACUGGUUGUCCUACUACUUUGAUAAUACUCAAGGAUCUGGAGCUCUUAGCUCUGUCUUUUUCUCCUUGAGUUGACUGUAAAUAUACGUGUUAUUUUGUUACAGUUAACUUUAAUGCUUUAUACAUAAACCGUUGGCACACUGUCUAACGCUUUGACGGUGUGCGUAGGUCGCGGCAGUCAAGGGAAAGCUAGAGAAAGGAAAGGGCGUGCUGGAAGGCUAAAAAAAGGGACUAAAGGAAAGAUUAAAAGCAUUAGCAGUUAAUACCGGGGUGCACGGAAAGACUAAAAACCGUUUUUAUUACGAACCUGAUCCUAAACUAGAGACCAACGUCCAUUAGUUGUUUCCCUUGAAUGGUGGAAUAGAUACUGUGAGUAACAACUUGUUCGAUUCCCUUUAUGACAAAAACUGUACAAAAACGGAAAUUAUACAAUCGUGACCUUUUGAAAAACAAAG
rnacentral:rRNA from 1 species